AGUCUCGGGGUGAAUUCACGUCAAAAUGCAAAUUUGGAGAAGCACCUUAAAGGGUGCCGGGACUU
rnacentral:tRNA from 1 species